rnacentral:rRNA from 1 species
UACAGAGGUCCCGAGCGUUGUUCGGAAUCACUGGGCGUAAAGGGUGCGUAGGCGGGUCUUUAAGUCAGGGGUGAAAUCCUGGAGCUCAACUCCAGAACUGCCUUUGAUACUGAAGAUCUUGAGUUCGGGAGAGGUGAGUGGAACUGCGAGUGUAGAGGUCGAAAUUCGUAGAUAUUCGCAAGAACACCAGUGGCGAAGGCGGCUCACUGGCCCGAUACUGACGCUGAGGCACGAAAGCGUGGGGAGCAAACAGGG